UAACAUGUGGUUGCUUUGCUUAUUUCACUGUUGAAGAUAUUUAAAAAAACAAACAAAAACAAAAUAAAAAAAACAACAAGAACAGUUGGACUGUGGUCUUUUCCUCAAUGGAAGAGAAAAAUGGAGUUCAAUUAACCCCUGUGUUGCAGGAAUGUAGUGAAUACAAUACUUAUAUAGUACCCGGUCAAUCAAUCUCUUUCCAUGCAAG